UACGGCUUUGGUCCUUGGCCUCCCAUUACUUUUUGUUAUACUUAUACAUGCAAGCCUCCACGAACCAGUGAGCACGCCCAAGCCGUCCCACCAGCAGGCGCACGGAGCGGACAUCAGGCACGCAUUAAGCAGCCCACAACGUCUCGCAAAAGCCACACCCCCACGGGCAUCCAGCAGUAAUAAACAUUGAGCAAUGAGCACACGCUCGACUCAGUAAUAACAACCCAUGCCGGUUAAUUUCGUGCCAGCCGCCGCGGUUAUACGAAAGGCUACAAAUAAUGAACCAACGGCGUAAAUCGUGACUAGAUUAAACCCCCCCAACAGAGAAACAACACCGCCAGGCAGUAAAAUGCGCCGGCCCACCGAAUAACCACAUACUCUGUACCGCCCAGUAAAUUGACUUCACGAAAGCCCAGACACAAACUAGGAUUAGAUACCCUACUAUGCUGGGCCGUUAACAGACAGCACAUACAACCCCGCUGUCCGCCAGAGAACUACGAGCGAAAAGCCUAAAACUCAAAGGACUUGGCGGUACCCCACUCAGCCUAGAGGAGCCUGUCCUAUAAUCCGACACCACACGUUCUACCCUACCACCCAUUGCAAAACCAGCCUAUAUACCGCCGUCGUCAGCCUACCUUAUGAAAGCCACCACAGUAGGCACCAAGGCUAACCCCAAAAGCCCGUACGUCAGGUCGAGGUGUAGCUAAUUGAGUGGCAGAGAUGGGCUACAUUUCCAUAAAACGGCCACACGAAUAUUAAGGUGAAACCCCUACUUGAAGGUGGAUUUAGCAGUAAAAUAAGCCAAACCGCUUACUUUAAACCCGCUCUGGGGUGCGCACACACCGCCCGUCACCCUCUUCACCCUAACACAAACAAAAACUUUCUUCCAACACUUUUACCCAAGAAGAGACAAGUCGUAACAUGGUAAGCGUACUGGAAAGUGCGCUUGGAUACA
rnacentral:ncRNA from 1 species